AAUGUAACCACUCUUAAUACACAAUACACAGGCCCAGCCUUAGCAGAGAGUCCCAAAAUACAAUGUCCCUGACACACCAUACGCAUAUGAGUGACAUGCAUGACUGUAGAACGGUUUCUAAAGAACAAAACUGCCCUAUAAAUGACUAAUCAAGCACACAUAACUGCCAUAAUGUUCAUAGAACUGACCUAUAAUUUUCCAUAUAUAGUCAUUGUUGUUACUUUUUUAUUUUUUGUUCAUCAUUAUUGGAAGAUGCUUUGGCCUAACUGUCCUAUCAUUAUGGAAAUGUAGUAAUUGUUGUUUUUUACUUUUGCUGAUCACUAUUGGCAGAAGCUAUGCUUGAAAUACCAGAUUUUUUAUUCCUGUCCAAUAACAAGAUCCUUAGGGUGGGAGAACCGAGAUGUCUCCACCAUGGGAAACAGUUGUAGUGUGGUAGAUAUGCUUUUUGUUUAUUUUUCGGUCACUUUCCCAAUUUUUCUUAGGCUCCUCCUAUUCCCCCACAUGCCCAAAACCUCACGAUGUCACCUCCUCCCUUGAUCCACAUCUGAUGCUACUUUUCCUCCUUCAUGGCCUAACUGUCCUAUCAUUAUGGAUCUGUAGUAAUUGUUGUUGUUUUGUACUUUUGCUGAUCACUAUUGGCAGAAGCUAUGCUUGAAAUACCAGAUUUUUUAUUCCUGUCCAAUAACAAGAUCCUUAGGGUGGGAGAACUGAGAUGUCUCCACCAUGGGAAACAGUUGUAGUGUGGUAGAUAUGCUUUUUGUUUAUUUUUCGGUCACUUUCCCAAUUUUUCUUAGGCUCCUCCUAUUCCCCCACAUGCCCAAAACCUCACGAUGUUACCUCCUCCCUUGAUCCACAUCUGAUGCUACUUUUCCUCCUUCAUCACCAACAAGUGUGAAAUGUGGGAGAAGCUUUGAGAGGUUGUCUCAGUUAAUGAUUGAGGAGUCCGAGACAAUGGUGAGAGAAAAUGUUUGAGGGAGAAAUAAUAGAGGGGGAGGAAGGGUAGAAUGUGGCAGUGUGGCUCCACUGCUGUAGUGGUCAGGAGAACUCUUCAACUACCAGAUUUUCCUUGCCUUCUUUCGUGGCAUCACCACUACUGCUGUUCUCUCCAUUGUUGCACAUGUUCAAACUAGAAGAAUGGAUAUGAAUAAUGAUUUGUAGGUGUUUUGGAUGAAUUUUUAUCAAUUUUUGUAGAUCUCCUCUUGAAUCUUCUGUAUGCAACAAGUGGUGAUGUGUUCUUUUACUAUGGGGUUUUGAGGCAUUGAAAUAAAGAGAGGGGCUUUGGAAUAUUUGUGUAUGCCAGAGACAAGAAGGACUGAAAAUGAGGGUGAAUGUGGCUUUAGUGUUGUAGCUGGAGGGAGUGGAAGCUUCCUUGCCGCCGGUUGUGUUGUGAAAGAGAGAAAGGGAUUAUCGAGGAGCACAUUUUAAAAAAUAAGAAAAAAUAAAAAAUCUUAUCCACUUAUUUUAAAAUUAAUGUAUCCAUGGAUUAAAUGUCUUUCUGUGGAAACUUGUGCUUGUCUCCCAAGCUAGCUUUUGUCCAAUUACAAUCUUUUAAAGAGGACUAUUUUAAUGUGUUUGUUUUUGCUUUUGCUAAUCAUUAUUGUCUGAUGCUAUGCUUGAAAUAUAAGAUUCUGGGAUUUCUGUCAAAUAGCACUCAUGAGAACGGGACAACCUUCUCCUAAUCUAAACUUUCCGUACCAAAGCAAGUGCCCUUUAGGGCUUUGAUAAUGUUCUUUGAAUUAUAAAGAAUCUGAGGAGAGAAUCCUCCUUUCAAUUAGUUCCCCGUCAUGGAAGGUUUUACCUGUCUUACAACAGAGCUAAUGCUCAGUUUUCAUAUCUCAAAACAGAAUGAAUCAUCUUCUCUCUAAUUUUAGCUAACCAUCCAACUAAUUAUUCAAUUAAAUUAUCCUAACUAAUUGCUUUAUUUCCAUUUAAUAGAUGCAAUUUUUCUUAC
rnacentral:lncRNA from 1 species